GAAAACUUGGAAACUACCGUUGGAUCGAGAAAUGAAUGUUCGAGAUUCGUCCACGUCACCCUGAGUUAAAACUCCUAGUUAAAUUUUAACUCAGGGUGACGUGGACGAAUCUCGGACGUCCAUUUCUCGAUUCAACAGUAGUUUUCAUGUUUUC
rnacentral:pre_miRNA from 1 species